rnacentral:tRNA from 1 species
UAAGUUGAAGCCAAAUGUUUAGGCGCCUAGCUGUUAACUAGGAAAGAGUGGGAUAAAAACCCACCAAUUUAG